rnacentral:lncRNA from 1 species
ACAUGCCAAAAGAGUUCCGACGACAUAUGGAUCCAAAUAAUGGCCAACAUUAUUGGAUUGUUGAACAUGUUCUUUUUAGUUACAAGUUGGGACCAAGAUGCGAUGUAUAUGAAACUCACGCCCUGCGUGAUUCCAACCUGUGAAAGCAUAUCUACUUGUGAGUUUUAAUCCCAGACACCCCAUAUAACUCGCAAGGCUUAAAUGAAAUCGCCAAAUGUCAUUGUUGACACGAUCUCUGAUAUUCUUUAGUAUUAUCAACUGUUAUAGAUGUUUGCUUUGUAUGAAAACAAAACAUAAAAACUUCAUUCAUGUUUGUGAGGAGUUGAUUGUAUUUGAGCAGGCAACAUUGAUUAUUUCUCACAACCAAGACAAGUGUUUGGCUAAUUAUUUCUCACACUAUCUAAUCAAAUGAAGGGCUAGGAGUUUCAGUUUGAAUGUCGGUCCUAAAUCAUUUCUUUUGUUCCAGACAUGUUUCUGAAUUUGAAGCAUUGAACUUUUGCUCAGCAAACAAGCAUUGUACGUAAGAUUUUUUUCGGUUGAAAGGCUUCAUGGCAAGCCUACCACAGGUCUCCAAGGAUAAUCAUAGGCAACUUGCGAGGUUGAAUAUCAUUUGCAACCCAGCUAGCAGAAACAAAAGAGUCCCUUCUCUAGUACCAAGCUUAGCUAGAAGUCGAGGUUUUCGCCACACGAAUUAAUUACGUAAAAUGAAACAAAUUAAAUCUGAAUUAUGCAUGGUAAGUGAUGGAUGGCAGAUUCAAAUCAAAGAGAAGCAGUUAUAUAUGUUAAUGGAAGAUCAGAGCAAAACGCAUGGCUUAAACUUCAUUGCUUUACAUCUGCAACCUUAUCAGAAAGAACACAAAAGUCUCUAAGCAUACAUAUAGUGUGUUAAAACCUGAUUGCAUAAGUUAAUGAAAAAGUAGCAGAAGCAGUUGUAUUCUUUGUGAUUGAUAAGUCUCUACUCAUCUACUGUACAGAAGCAAAACUUCCAAGAGAUGUAUGAUAGAGAUUUUAACACAUGUUCAGGAACUGGUAUAAACAAUUUACGAGUUUUUGGAUUAUUUAACUUAAUUAACUCUAAGAAUUAUAUUGGAGCAGUUAUGUUUUUAUUUAAUAUAUAUGUGUGUGUGUAUAUAUAUAUAUAUGAUUUGUUUUAUUAGAAACAUUAAAUAUAUAUAUAUAUAUAAUUGUCAUUAGGAGCAAUUUUUAUUCGUAAAUAUAUUGGAGACGUUGUCAAUUAUGAGUCAUUUCCACUCUUAAUUAUAUAGGAGAUGUGAGGAAGUUUUCUACUUCAACAAAUUUGAAAUGCCUUCUCUGAAUAGAUAUAUAUAUAUAUAUAUAUAUAUAUAUAUAUAUAUAUAUAUAUAUAGAUAUAUAUAGAUAUAUCAAUUAUGAGUCAUUUCCACUCUUAAUUAUAUAGGAGACGUGAGGAAGUUUUCUACUUCAACAAAUUUGAAAUGCCUUAUCUAUAUAGAUAUAUAUAUAUAUAUAUAUAUAGAUAUAUAUCUAUUCAGAGAAGGCAUUUCAAAUUUGUUGAGAGAGAUAUAGAUAUAUAGAUAUAUAUCUAUAUAUAUAUAUAUCUAUUCAGAGAAGGCAUUUCAAAUUUGUUGAGUGAGAGAGAGAGAGAGAGAAUACUAUAAGCUGAUAAAUAAUUUUUGAAAUUAAGUUUUGAGAGCAACAUAUUGAAAUCUAUUCAGAGAAGGCAUUUCAAAUUUGUUGAGAGAGAGAGGGGGAGAGAGAGAGAGAGAAUACUAUAAGCUGAUAAAUAAUUUUUGAAAUUAAGUUUUGAGAGCAACAUAUUGAAAGGGUGCAAGUUUGAAAGGUUCUGGGCUGUUUUAUCCUGAGGACGACGUGGUGUUUGUGAACUUCUUGCACACUUUGGGUAGAGCCGCGAAACAUCUUAAAGAUAGCGACUUAGUCCGCAACUCAUCCCAAGAAUCAUUCAUUACUCAAGGGUUUUACAUUUUCCGGGUAACUUCGUUCAUUUCUAUUUCAGUUUAAACAAUUUUAAGACGAAUUCAAUCUGCCAUGCAUUAUAAGGAAAACUCUACUUCUCAAGCAAAUCUUGUUGAAGAGCAAUUGAUUGCAAUGAUAUCAGAUAUCAACCUAGUUGAUGGAUCAGAAGGGUGGUGGGUGGACAUUGGCGCUUUUCGCCAUGUUUGCUAUGAUCGAUCCCUUUUCAAUACCUAUUCUGUGGCUGAGGGAAGAAAGGUGUUGUUGGGUGAUUCGCACUCAACUGAUGUUGCUGGUACUGGAGAGGUGGAGUUGAAAUUCACCUCUGGAAAAACCAUGAUACUGAAAGAUGUGAUGCACGCUUCGGCGAUAAGAAAGAAUCUUGUCUCGGGCUUUCUUCUCAACAAGGCUGGAUUCACUCAAACGUUUGGAGCAGAUACGUAUACUCUUACUAAAAUGAGGUUUUUGUGGGAAAAGGGAUAUGCUACUGAUGGAAUGUUUAAAUUGAAUAUUGAUAAAAUGUCUGCUUCUGCUUACAUGUUGUCUUCUUUUAAUACUUGGUAUGCUAGACUUUGUUAUGUUAACAAACGCUUGGUUAAGAACAUGAGUAACUUAGGCUUUUUACCCAACUUAUCAUUGAAUGAUUUUGAAAAAUGUGAAUACUGUAGUCAAGCUAAAAUCACUAGAACUUCGCAUAAAUAUGUCAAUAGAGAAUCUGAACCACUUGACUUAAUUCAUUCUGAUAUAUGUGAAUUUGAUAGAGUGUUAACUAGAAAUGGAAAACGUUAUUUUAUUACCUUUAUUGAUGAUUGUUCAAAUUACUGUUUUGUCUAUCUUAUAAAAAAUAAAAGUGAAGUUAUUGACAUGUUCAAAACUUUCCUGAUUGAAGUUGAAAAUCAUUUAAUCGUAAGUUUAAAAGAUUUUGUAGUGAUAGAGGACAAUAUCAUUUAAUCAUUUAAUCGUAAGUUUAAAAAAAAUUCUUGACGAGCCCUAUAUCUCUGCAAUGUUAGAUUUCCCAUUUUCUUAUCCAUUUUUCCAGUUCGAGGCAGUAAAGUUCUGUGGGUUUCCGGGGAUUUUGUCAUUUUCCGGACACUUUGGCAACCAUUUCCUUUGAGUGAGGUAUGAAACUUCAUCUACUCUUCAUAAUCUUCAAGUUGGUAUGCUUGGUUCGUGCUUUUGUAUUCAUUUUAGUGUUGGGUGUUUAGAACCCUAGAAAUCCGGUUUUCUCUGGUGAAUUUGGAUGGUUUCCAAUUAGAAUUUAUAUUCGGCCUAGUUGUGAAAAGUGUUUCCCUUGUUGAGCUCUAGUUACCACUUAAAUUUGAGCUCAUUUAGUUAAUAUUGAAAAUUCAGGUUUUCAAAACCCUCCACCUUAGUUAUCAGUUGUUGGACCUUUGAGAACUUACGGAUCGGAGAUCUGAUGUGCGGAUCUUCCAGUUUGAAUAACCUUAGAUUGUUGACCUUAUUGACGAUUGACAUUCUAGUCAACGUGCUAUACUCUAGAGUGUCGUUUAUCUCUAGUUUGUUGUUGAUGCUUGAUGGAACUUAGUUGGCUCAUCACGAUGAUGUGUCGUUCUCGGUUGAUGUGUGUCUCGAUAUAUGUAUUAGUGCCACCAUAUUGAGUUAUACUUGUUAAUUUAAUGUGCUUUCUAUUGAAAUGUUAUUUUAUUUUUAGCAUCAAUCUAUGUUUAUUAAUUGUGAUUUGACUGUAGCUUGGAAACAUUUAUGAAAUGUGGUUAGAUAUGUAUGAUCAGUAUGAUGUGUAUAAUUGUUUUUAGGACAAUGUGAACCCAGAAUCUUAUGAGAAGUAUUAUGUAUAACUUUUAUGCUUGUAUGAUAAGAUAGUUAGUGGUCAUGAGAAGUUGAUAGUGCAAGUGAUUCUGUUGAGUGAUGGUCCGGAAUCGUAUACUUGUUUGGAUUCCGUUGAGUGAUAGUCUGGAAUCCCUUCUACUUCGUGAUUCUGUUGAGUGAUGGUUCAGAAUCGUAUACUUGUUUGGAUUCCGUUGAGUGAUGGUCUGGAAUCCCUUCUACUUCGUGAUUCCGUUGAGUGAUGGUUCGGAAUCGUAUACUUGUUUGGAUUCCGUUGAGUGAUGGUCCAGAAUCCCUUCUACUCUGCGAUUCCGUUGAGUGAUGGUCCGGAAUCAUAUCCUUGUUAAGAUUCCGUUGAGUGAUGGUCCAUAAUCGUAUCCUUAUUUGGAUUCUAUUGAGUGAUGGUCUGGAAUCAUUUCCUGGUUUGGAUUCCGUUGAGUGGUCCAAAGUCGCAUCACUUGACUUGUUGGUUUCUUAGAUUUGACAUCAGCUUUAGAGAUGCAGACUUGGCUUAACUGUGUCACUCUAGCCUUAGUUUUAGUAUAUUUGUGAGCAAUGGUUUUGAGAAUCUUGUGAAUUGAAUUAGAAAAGCUGUUGGACGUUUGGGUGACUCUUUCAUGAUUUUCUAUGAUUCGAUUAUGAUAUCAUAAGGUAUGAAUUUAGAAGAUAUGGUUAUAGUUGUUAUUAUUUUGGUCAAAUUAGUUAAUUAAUGUGGCUAGAGAAUUAUAUUGUGCUUCGUCGGUUCUUUGAUAUAAUAUAUGUUGUGAAUUGCGGUAUCAUGUUGCGACAUAAUGACUUAUAUAGAAGAUGGAAGGGAAAUCAUGAUUUUCAGGUGGGUUUGUUAUGUAACUCUGAGUCUAGUAAUUUUAUGCUUGGCAAGUUCUAUUGAUUGAUUGAGAAAUGUUAUGCCUUUCAGCUUAAACGGACUGUGAUAUAUGUCAAUUAUAGUGCAUGACGAACUAUGAAUGGCUUGAUCUAUAUUUAGGGUACGUAAGCAGUCUAACGAGGAUGUUAGAUGCAGCCAUAAAGCAUACGAAAAAUUACUAUGUGAUUCGAUUAUCGAAUUGUGCUUUGCCCAUAUUCCGGAGUCGGGGUAUGAUAGAUACGGGUAUUUGGUGACAUCACGUGUCGAUCCUAGACGUAUGUCGGGAUCGGGGCUUGACAUGGGUGAAAUUGUGUUGACUAUAUGUUAUGUGUUAAAUAGAAUUCCUAACUCAAAAACGAAUAUUUCUCCUUAUGAAAUUUGGAAAAAUAAGAAACCAAAUGUGUUGUAUUUCAGAACUUGGGGUUGUUUAGCUUAUGUUCGUAAACCUGAUAAAAAAAGAUUGAAAUUGGCUAGUAGAGCAUAUGAAUGUGUUUUUAUUGGUGAUGCAUGUAAUAGCAAAGCAUAUAGAUUUUAUGAUUUGAAAAACCAUGUCAAAUUGAGUCACUUGAUGCUGACUUUUAUGAGAAUAAAUUUCCUUUUAAUCUUCGAAAUAGUGGGGGUUCUAAUUCUUCUAAAAUUUAUGCACCUCCUGUUGUAGAACAUAGUCAAUCUGCAUUAGAACCUAGGAAAAGUAAAAGAGCUCGAAUAACUAAAGAUUUUGGACCUGAUUUUCAUGUAUAUAACUUACAAGAAGAUCCUAAUACAAUUCAAGAAGCUUUAACUUCUUUAGAUGCAGCUUUGUGGCAAAAAGUUAUAAAUGAUGAAAUGGACUCCCUGGAGUCAAAUCAAACUUGGCACUUGGUGGAUCUUCCACCUGGUUGCAAAACAAUAGAUUGCAAAUGGAUUCUUAAAAGAAAAUUAAAACCUGACGGUUCAGUUGAAAAUUUUAGAGCCCGACUUGUUGCUAAAGGCUAUAGACAAAGAGAAAAUAUGAUUUCUUUAAUACUUAUUCACCUGUGACUAGAAUAACAUCUAUUCGUGUAUUAUUUGCUUUAGCUUCUAUUCAUGAUCUUGUUGUGCACCAAAUGGAUGUUAAAACAACUUUCUUAAAUGGUGAAUUAUAGGAAGAAAUAUAUAUGGAUCAACCAGAGGGUUUUAUCAUUCCAGGACAAGAAAAUAAAGUUUGCAAGUUAGAUAAGUCACUUUAUGAAUUGAAAUAGGCUCCUAAACAAUGGCAUGCAAAAUUUGAUAGUUUGAUUACUUCGAAUGGUUUUAAAAUAAAUGAAAGUGAUAAAUGCAUCUAUUAUAAGUCUAAAAAUAAUAUAUGCAUUAUAAUAUGCUUAUAUGUGGAUGAUUUGCUUAUUUUUGGUUUGAAUAUUCAUGUUAUGAAUAAUGUCAAAACUUUAUUAUGUGCUAAUUUUGAUAUGAAAGACUUGGAUGAAGCUAGUGUAAUACUUGGUUUGAAAAUAACUAGGUCCGAAAAUGGGUUUUCUUUAGAUCAAUCCCACUACAUAGAAUUUUUUUUAAGAAAGUAUAAUUAUUUUGAUUGUAAACUAGCAUGUAUUCCUUCUGAUCCUAGUGUAAAAUUGUUCAAGAACACUGGUGACAGUAUUAAACAAUCUAAGUAUGUGAGCAUUAUUGAUAGUUUUCGUUAUGCUACUGAUUGCACUAGGCCUGGUAUAUCUUAUGUUGUAGGAGUUUUAUGCAGGUUCACUAGCAGACCUGGUUUGGAGCAUUGACAUGCUAUAGAGAGGCUUAUGAGAUACCUUAAAAGAACGAUGAAUUUCAGAUUACACUAUGAGAAGUUUCCCGUUGUCCUAGAAGGUUACAGCGAUGCUGAUUGGAAUACCCAUUCAUAUGACUCUAAAGCCACUAGUGGAUAUAUUUUUAGUAUUGGUAGCAGGGCUGUGUCAUGAAGUCGAAGAAACAGACUAUCUUGGCUCAGUCUACUAUAGAGUCAUAAUUAAUAACACUAGUUACGGCAAGCGAAGAAGCAGGAUCGUUGAGAAACCUACUAUCAUAUACCCAUUUAUGGGAGAAACCGAUUCUAGCAGUUUUUAUCCAUUGUGACAGCACAUCGGCAAUAGCUAAAGUACAAAACCGUUAUUAUAACAGGAACAUGCGACAAAUACGUCGUAAGCACAACACUGUAAGAGAUUAUCUCUCUAAUGGAGCUGUAAGAGUGGAUCAUAUACGGUCUGAAGAAAACUUGGCUAAUCCUUUAAUGAAAGGAUUAGCACGAGAAAAGGUUUGGAAAACCUCGAAAGGGAUGAGACUAAAGCCUUUAGAAAAUUGAGUCAUUUGUGAUAGCAACCCAACCUAUAGACUGGUGAUCCCAAUAAAUAGGUUUAAAGGGUAAUAAUAAGUCACAAGUGAUAUGAGUGAAGUUUUGCUAAUUUAAUUUGGAAAAUUAUUCCAUGUCCAUCCCUAAGAAGCCUGACAUCUUGAAGCGUUUUUAGGUUGAGAUUUUUUUUCUCUUAGUAAGGUCUAUGCUCUAUGUUGAGUGGGAUAUCUAGCUGCAGGAAUAUCCUUGAUAGUCUUACCUAUGUGGAUGUGGAAGUGAGGCCGCUUCCUAUGAAAUCUUGGGCAAGUUUCUAGAGCAUUCACUAUACUGGGAUAUAAGCACAUGAUCGUAAUAUGCUGACUUUUUAAACUUCACCUUAAUAAAGUUAUGUGUGUGGUGUUGUCAGAGAUAGAGUUCAAAACUAUAAGUUACUCUAGUAUAAUUUGGAUCACUAACACUAUGUACAUGUUCAAGUUGAGAAACACCUUUACUUAUGCAUAUCUUUAUGAUAUGUUGCUUGAUAUACAAUUUUUAAACAAAAACAAGUGGGGGAUUGUUGGAGCAGUUAUGUUUUUAUUUAAUAUAUGUGUGUGUACAUAUAUAUAUAUAUAUUUAUGAUUUGUUUUAUUAGAAACAUUAAAUAUAUAUAACUGUCAUUAGGAGUAAUUUUUAUUCGUAAAUAUAUUGGAGACGUUGUCAAUUAGGCGUAAUUUCCAAUCUUAAUUAUAUAGGAGACAUGAGGAAGUUUAUUACUUCAACAAAUUUGAAAUGCCUUCUCUGAAUAGAGAUGAAGAUCACGUCCACAUCCAUAUAUAAUCUAUCCGUUUUGAUUUGUAUGUUUUGGUUUUUUCCAGAUUUCUAGUCCUUAAUUUAUAAAUCCUUCAACCUCUAUUUCUUUACUUUGUAUAUAAAUACAAGUCCUGAGUAUCGAUAAAAAAAAGAUAUAUAUAUAUAUAUAUAUAUAUAUAUAGAGAGAGAGAGAGAGAGAGAGAGAGAGCUAUAAUCUGAUAAAUAAUUUUUGAAAUUAAGUUUUGAGAGCAACAUAUUGAAAGGGUGCAAGUUUGAAGGUUCUUCCAUUAUGCAAGGAAGAACCUUAUCAGAAGAAGGUUUUAGGCUGUUUUAUCAUGAGGACGACGUUGUGUUUGUGAACUGCUUGCACAUUUUGGACAGAGCCGCGAAACGUCUUAAAGAGAGCGACUUAGUCUGCGACUCAUCCCAAGAAUCAUUCAUCACUCAAGGCUUUUACAUUUUUCGGGUAACUUUGUUCCUUUCUAUUUCAGUUUUCAACAAACUACAUUAAUUUGACAAAACUAAAUUCUAUUGUACGUGACUUAAACAAAUAUAUAAAAUGAGAAUUGGCUUACAGAAAUGGUGAUUUAACUAAACAAAACAAGUAAAUGUAGAAACUUAAAAUAAUAGAAAUAAUUGAAGAAAAUUAGAUUGACAAGGCACUAGAGUUUGACCUUUACCAACAACACUCCUACGUAGUUCUUCCAAUUCCUUAAGUAAUCGAAAACACACAUGCCUUGAAGGUUGAGUUUUUCCUUAUGUAAUUUUACUUGUGACAUUCAAGCUAAAUCACAUAUCACUACAUGCAAUUCAUCCAUAACAUUGAGAUUAAAUAUAAACAUGAGUGAUUUAUUGAUCUUGGUGAAAAUCCUUUUAAUAAACCAUGUAAUCCCUAAGAGUAUCAUAUUUACCUUAGGAGAAAUUACAAUCCUCAAUCACAAGAAUCAUAACCAAUUUUAACGUGAUAUUCGUUCAAAAUUACAUUCGAUGACUGUUCUAAGCAUCCCAAUGGUGAUCAAGCAUCAAAGCACGUAGAUAAUUUAAUUUAGUAAUUGAAAAUAUCAAAGUAAGCAUGUAACAAUACUUAAACAAUUAAAAGAGACGUAUUCAUGUUGAAGCUCAUGACCUCACUCAAGCGAAAGAAAAUUAAUUAUACAUACUUAUCUGAAAACAUAAAAAAUUAUCCAUAAAAAAUCAAAGCAAAAAUACAACCUUUAUUUACAAGAAUUAUUCCUGCUGAGCUGCUUCCAUCCUCCGCUCUCUGCCUUUGCUCUCUUCUUCUACUGAGCCUUCCGUCCUUCUCCCUGCUUCUCUUCUGUUUUUCCUCGUCUGCUUCGUGCCCUUCCCUCGACCAAAUGCAGCUAUCUGCUUUUUCCCAGCCACAAAGGCCCAAUGGAAGACAAGUCAAAUUUCACUUCGGUAGUGGGAUUGGCAAGGCAAAGUACAAAGUUACCUGUCUCUUUCUUUUUUCUCCACUUGCCGUGUCCCAUCUUGGAAAAUUCCAAAAACGUUCGGUCAUUCCCAGUUGCCAAAGCAGGUUGGAGCUUUUGAACUCUUCUUCCGCUUUCUACGCACACCCACUACCUCACAACUACAACUUUAUUAGCCAAUCUAAUAUUACAUUUUUAAUUGCUUACCAUGGCCUCUUCCAAUUUUCUCAAGUUUCUACAAAUGGAUUUUUAUUUAGAAAAAAUAAUGAAAAGUGUUUGAAAAUUUUAAGUUUUAAUGAAAAUGAUAAAAAUAUGUUGUAAGUGAAUAUUAUUAAGAUUGACUUUUUAAAAUAAAAAUGUGAUUUUUUAUUAAAAUAAAUAAUACCAGGACUGUUUCGUUAAAACUUCAUUUUUAUUUUCUAAUACUGAUGGAGAAGGAAAAGGAGAGAGUGACAUAAAGAAAAUAUGGAAAUAAUUUCCACAAUUCGUUUUCUAUGUUUGUACACUUCCAAUAUUUUUCAUCACUCGAUUCUCACACCAAAGGAAACAUAAUCAUGAUAUUCCCGCAUCAUUCUUUUUUUUAUUUAUUUAGCCGAAAGCUCGUCCUAGAAACAUAAUAUAACAAAAGUAUCACAAAUACUUAAAACUUCCCACUAAACUAAACAAGAUAACAACAAUAAUAGGGCUAAAUAUAUAGUAUAAAUAUUGAUUCAUCAAUAUACACAAUGAAGUUGCUUUCAUCUAUAAAAUCUAAGAGCUCUUAGAUUUAUUAACAUGCCGAAACAUUUCAACGAGAUGUGGAUCCGAAAAAUGGCCAGCGUUAUUGGAUUGUUGAGCUUGUACGAACGGCAUGUUAUUUGUAUUUACAAGCGUGGGACGAGAUGCUGCACACACGAGAUUCACAACCUGCAUGAUUCCAGCUUGUGAAGGCGCACAGGCGAGUCUUACUUAACAGCAGAAUACCCUGCACCACAGGAUGCUGCAGUGAAAUUAUCAAAUUUCAUUUUUUUCCCUAGUUGCCAACAUCAUUUUAGUCUCCUAGGAGAUGGCACGAUUGGUGAGAAUGAUUUAUGUGGAACAGGUUCACCGUAAACGUGGCAUCCCAGUUUAAUAAUACAAUAUUACAUGACAUUGUCUUAUUGGACCGAGGCGCAAUAGUGACGAUGAAUUCAUUUUAUAUAAGUUGCUCUUAUUGUUGGGUGUCCUUACGCAAAUUUUUCAAGACAAGGUGGAUUUUUAAUCAAAGAUAGUUGUGAUCUACAUCAAUGUUGUGCGGAAGCGCCAAAUAUGAAACCAAUAAUCUAAUACGACAAAAUAUGACAAGACAAAUAAUCCAAAUUGACACAAUGUUUUAUACUGAUUCAGCGUAAGCCUACGUCUAGUUCAGAGACAGCGAAGAAAUUCCACUAAUAGUCAAAAUGGAGAUUACAAAUUUAGUUCAACUCUUAAAUCCCAAAACUCACAUACACCCAAGGUAUUAAAUAUCGAUGAGAUCGGAAAUAUUGGUAAUAAAAAAACACGGAAAUUUCGAUAGAAAUAUCGGGAUAUUAUCGAUAUCAAUAAAAAUUGAAUAAAAACCACGGAAAUUGUAAGAAAAACUUGGAAAUUUUUAUUGAAACUUUGUAAGAUGUUUAUUUAGUCAAUUAUCUAUUAGUUUAUCACAAAAACUUGGAAGGAAAUGCAUUGUAUGAUAGAUAGAACUGAUUUAAGUUGAUUAUAUAACGAGCUGGUAAAUAUUGUGAGUGUAGAAAAUAUGUAGUAAUUAAUUAAAGAAAUUUAAACACACCAUAAUCAUUUAUAUAUAAUGAAUUAUGCAAUAUUUUACACUUUAUACAUUAAAUGGUAAGAUACACGAAUGACUUAGCAAGGUUUAAAAUAUCGAUGAUAUCGGAAAUAUCGGUAGUCCAAAAAUACGAAAAAUUUCGAUUGAAAUAUCAGGAUAUUAUGAAUAUUUUAGACCAUACAUACACCUAAUAGCUCUCACUCGUACAAAGAACAAAUGAAGAAGAUGGAAACACAUACCAAAUCUCAUCUCUCAAAAGCCACAAAACGUAGCAUCAAUAUCUUUGACUGAGUGAUUACAGACAAAGGGAGUUACAAACAAAAGGGGUUACAAACAAAGGGGGGAGAGCAGCAGCCUUCUUCAAAUAGAAGAGUCGAAUGCUCUCUCCUCUGCUCACUUCUUUUCUGCUGCUCUCCUCUACUUAUCUCUCCGCAAGAUCCAGCAAGGAAGAUAAGGUGCACAAUGAUCAACAACAACAACAAAUUUUUUUCCGACUAAAUGGAAUCGGGAAUCAUAAAAAUGUAACUUUUUUUUCUUUUGCCAACCACAAAGUGCCGAAAGAAAAAAAAAUCAACCCUUUCUUUUUUUUCUACAAACAUCAUCAUUAUGCCUCCUCAUCAUGUUCCCACAUCCCCUUUUCUUAUUCUAUUUUUCUUGCUUCUGGCUUCUUUAACAAAUGCAGCAGUUGCUGCCAAUUAAAACAAAGAAUGUGAUAUUCACACAUUCUUUUUUACUUCUUUUAUAUUCUUUUAAUUUUGGAUCGUCGGAUCGGAUGAAUUGAAAAAAAUUAAAUGACAUAAAUUAACAAGAGUUGUGAGAGAAGUAAAAAAAAGUGUGUGGAUAGCACAUCCCUUAAAACAAUAGGAAAACCACCCUGUGGCUUUCACAUGGACCAAAUAAACAAAAGGAAAACCACCAUGUGGAUUUAUUCCUCAUAAUCCAUCAAAUCAGAAAAUUCGUGUCGUUGAAAUUUGAUCAAACGGCUAAAAUUAUUAUAACUUUUUAAAAUGAAUUUUUAUUUAUAACCUUAGAUCAAAUUUCAACUGUAUAAAUUUUCUGAUUUAAUGGAUCAGAAGGAAGGAAGGACCCGUUUCCUUACGGAUAACCUAAUUCAAUAUGAGCCAAUCGCUGCCUUAUCACAUCAUUGAAUCCAAUUGCUGCCUUAUCACAUCAUAAUUCAAUAUGAGCCAAUCGCUGCCUUAUCACAUCACUUUCAUAGUUUAAUUCACCUUGCAAUCCAGAAAGUAGUCUGCAACGGAUUCGGAUCCCAUCCGGAUUCAAAAUGUGGAAAUGUCUUAAUCAUUAAUCAAUCAGAAAUUAUUUGACUUGUUAUUUUAAAUUAAACACAAAUAGUAUUUGACGAAAACUAACGUAUGAAUGAACGGUUAGGAUGUGAGGAAGUGUAUAAUUCCCACCAAAUGGAUCUAGAGAGGAUCCUCUUCUGUCUGCAACCUAACCAGAAAUACAUCACACAGAAUUCAAAAAUGUUCAAAAUUUCAUAUAAUUGAGCAAAUAUUCAUCAAUUAUAGAUGCUUUGUCUGCCAGACAAGGGCAGGAUACAGAAUGGCAGAACAGAUUAUAUGCUUUGUGAUCGACAAGUUAAUUCAACUACUCAUCACCACAGAAGCAAACCUUUCGAGAAAUGCAAGUACUGAAGUUGGUUUCAUCAAAGAUGAACUCGAGAGCAUCCGAUCAUUCCUCAAGGAAGCAGAUGCUAAGGCUGCAGCAGCAGACGGAGAGACGGGGAAUGAUGGUGUCAAAACUUGGGUCAAUCAAGUAAGAGAAGCAGCUUUUUAUAUUGAAGAUGUGAUUGAUGAAUAUUUGCUCCGCAUCUUACAGCAUCAUCAACACCAUGCAUUCCUUCGUUCUUUCCACAAAAUUAUCCGGUUGGCUAAAAAAUUGAGAUCACAGGAUGGGAUAGUUUUGAAAGUUGACGGUAUAAAAGAAUUGGUUCGUGGAAUCAAGGAGAGAAGUGAAAGAUAUGGAUUCAAAUCCCUUGAUCAGCAAGGCCAGAGCAGUGGAGAAAACAACGACCCUCGAGUGGCUUCCCUUUUCAUUGAGCAAGCUGAAAUCGUGGGGAUUGAAUCUACCAGAGAUGAGCUGACUGGUUUGUUGGUAGAAGAAGCACCAAGACGUAAAGUGAUAUCAGUGGUUGGCAUGGGAGGACUUGGGAAAACCACUCUUGCCAAGAAAGUAUAUGACCAGCCGAAGGUGAUGGCACACUUUGAUUGCUAUGCUUGGAUUACGGUGUCCCAAUCGUACAGGGUUGAGGAUCUUCUGAGGACGGUAAUAAAAAAGUUCUACAUUUCAAGGAAGGAGCUUUUCCCAGAGGAAAUCGACACAAUGGAUGAGGAGUCCCUGAUUAGCACAGCAAGAGAGUAUUUGCAGCAAAAGAGGUACGUUGUUGUGUUUGAUGAUGUGUGGAAAGUAGAUUUUUGGGGGGCUAUAGAACAUGCUUUACCCGAUAAUAAAGGCGGACGAAUAAUUAUCACUACACGGAUUCAAGGUGUUGCCAACUUUUGCAGAAGAUCUUGUUUUGUUCAUGUUCAUCACUUGCAGCAUCUGCCUCCAAACAAGGCAUGGGAAUUGUUUUGCAGAAAGGCAUUUCAGUUUGAAUUGGAGGGAAAGUGUCCUGAAGAUUUGGAAGAGUUGUCUCUUAACAUCGUCAAAAGAUGCGAAGGACUACCUUUGGCAAUUGUUUCCAUAGCUGGUCUGCUGUCAACCAAAGCUAAAGUUGUGUCUGAAUGGCAGAAGUUAUACAAUAGCUUAAGUUCAGAGUUAGAAAGCAAUCCCCACCUUACAAGCCUCACAAGAAUCAUAUCCCUCAGCUAUCACCAUCUGCCGUAUUACCUCAAAUCGUGUGUAUUAUACUUUGGCAUCUUUCCCGAGGAUUACUCAGUUAGUUGCAUAAGAUUAGUUCGGUUGUGGAUCGCUGAAGGUUUUGUGAAACCGAAGAGGGGCAAGACACUAGAAGAGGUUGGAGAGGAAUACUUGAUGGAGCUAAUUCACAGAAGCCUGGUUCAAGUUUCAGAAGUUUACAUUGAUGGAAAAGCUCGAGGUUGUAGAGUUCAUGAUCUAUUGCAUGACGUCCUCCUUAAGAAGGGGUUGGAUUCGAGCUUCUGUCAUGUGUUAUCAAAAGACGAGUCAACUUUUAAACCAACAACUCGACGUCUCUCAAUGGACAUCAGUCCUUCUGAGGCCGUGGGAAGCUUUACACAAUCUCAUAUUCGUUCUGUAUUUACUUUCAACCUAGAAGAAUGGCCUGGGUCUUUUCUCGAUACAUUGAGUGGAAACAUUAAACUUCUGAAAGUAUUGGAUUUCACAGAUGCUCCAAUCAAUCAACUUCCGAAAUAUGUGGGGGAUUUGUAUCUCUUGACGUAUUUAAGCUUGAGGAAUACAAGGGUGGAGUUGCUUCCAGACUUCAUAGGCAAUCUACAAAACUUGGAAACCUUGGAUCUAAAACAGUCUUUGGUGUAUGAAAUACCAGCCAAGAUCAAUAAGCUUGUUAAGCUGCGGCAUCUUUUGGCCUACCAUCGUGACUACAACUACGACGUGGGUUUGUAUUGGAAUUUGGAAAGAGGAGUGAAGAUACAUGAAGGUAUUGGAUGCUUACAAGCUUUGCAAAAUUGUCCUAUGUGGAGGCGAAUCAUGGAGGGAUCAGGUUAAUCAAAGAAUUGGGAAAGUUACGACAGCUACGGAAGUUAGGCCUAAAAAACUUGAAAAGUGAAGAUGGAAGGGCUGUGUGUGCUUCUAUUGAAAAGAUGAACCACCUUGAAUCUCUAAUUUUAACUGCAAUAAAUGAAGAUGAAGUCCUUGAUCUAGAAUCCAUUUCAACUCCACCACAAUUUAUUCGUGCUCUCUUCUUGAUAGGGCGUUUAGAGCAGUUGCCAGGUUGGAUUUCAAAUCUUCAACACCUCGUCAGAUUGGUGAUUUGUUGGUCAAGGUUGAGAGAUUCCCCACUAAAAGCCCUUCAAAAUCUACCUAAUCUGUUGGAGCUAACUUUGGAUAUCAAUGCAUAUGAUGGUGUGCAGCUGCAUUUUGAGGAAGGAGGAUUUCAUAAACUUAGAAAGCUACAUCUCAGGGAAAUGAUGGGACUAAAUUCGUUGAUCAUAGACGAUGGUGUCAUGCCUCUUCUCCAAGAGUUUCGCAUUGGGCCUUCCCCACAAAUGAAUGAGGUACCCUCUGGCAUCCACCAUCUCCGGAAUCUGACAUAUCUUCAUUUCUAUGACAUGCCAAAGGAGUUUGCGCGACAGAUGGAUCCAAAAAAUGGCCAACAUUAUUGGAUUGUUGAACAUAUACAAAAUGUUCGUUUUAGUUACAAGGUCGGACCAAGAUGGCGUGUAUAUGAAAUUCACGCCCUGCGUGAUUCCAACUUUUCUCUUUGGUGGAAUGCUUGAUUCCAACUUGUGAAACCAAGCAUGGGAAUGGGAUAUGCUUUGGUUAAGAGUUGGUUGUUAGCUCUGGUAUCCUAGUUUCUCUUGCAGGUUGACUGGGAGGGGCUCUUUCUCUUCUGUUUUCUUUGUGUCGUCCAAUCGUAUUCCUAGCAUUUUCCUUGUAAUUUUAUUGGUGGUUGCAAUAAAAAUAUCCUAUCCAAUUGAUUUUCUCUAGGAAAAUGAUAAACCGUAUGCUCCUUUUAACCUCACUUUGAUAAUUGAAGUUAAAAUAUUAAAUUUUUACUAUUUUUGAUCUUACCAAUUCUUUACUAUUUUAUAUUCUUUAUAUUAAUUUGUAAUCUCUAACAUAUUUUGUUAAUCAAAGGGUAGAUUUUGUGGAUUAUAGAAAUUUCAUGAAUCAUGAUUGUUUUUUUUUAUUUGCCAAAAAAUUCAUGAAUCAUGAUUGAGCAUUCUCCUUUUGUAUGUCACACAUAUUGAUCCAGCCACAUAUUUUUUGUAUGCACAAUAAUGAAAAUGUGUUAAGCGUUUAACGGUGUAAAUUCAAACUCCGUCGAUAACUAACGUAACAAAAUUUAUCGACAGACAAAAAAAAUAAAAAUUAGGUACAAGAUGUAAAGGUGAGGGCCCACAAAUGCAAGCGUUGGGGAUAGCGGAGUGGAUCCCACGAUUUCAAAAUUAUGGACAGGAGGAACAUUUCUCUCAAACUUGGGCGCUAAAAAAAGUCGUCGUCGUUUUUCCUUUUCUGGCUGAGUUUGCCUUCUUAAACCAACCCGACAUUCUCGGCCCAAACAAAUGUUCAAACCUUUCCGUUACUUCCCUUCACAAAUUUCCAAUUAGGGUUUCACAUUAACCUUGAUCAGAACUUCUACGUACAUAUAUAUACAUAUAUAUAUUUAUAUAUAAUCUCUCUCUCCCUCUGUUUCUGAAUUUUGAUUUCCCGGGAAGGUUUCAAACCCGAUCGUUUCUUCGAAAGUCUCUGAAAGCUUUUCGACAAAACAAAAAUCCAAAAUCUUUGUGAUAUCAAAAAGGAAAUAAAUUUCAAAACGCGCAUGGAAUUGGCUGGUUCAUUUGCCUGAAAGUUGGUUCAGAUAGAGAUGGAGGGAGGGGCGAGAGAGAUGGACGAAGAAUUGCUGGAGUUCGCGAGGGAGGCUUUCGAGGGGGAUGAAAUUGACAUGGACUACGAAUUGAUGCGCCAAAGGUUCUACGAUUUCACUAGGCCGGAAUCCUAUUGGGAGGCGGAGGAGGCGGAGGAAUGGUUCCGGUCCGCCGGAGGCUAUCACCCCACGCGUAAGCGAUUUCCAGAACAUUUGUUUGUUGGUUUCUUAUCAUUGAUAGACAUAUAUUGUGUGGCUGAGAUACUGCCACUUGUAUGCAGAUUAGAGAGUUAGUUAGAAAGUUAGUUAGGUAGUUUGUUUAGAAUAUUGAAAAGGGUAUAAAUACUGAUGUAUGUGGGAUUGCUUAGUAAGUAAGAAAAGUAAUAUACUGGAAGUGUUUGGUUUCUACUUCUCUCUCUAAAUUGCUUGAAUCUCUUCUUCUUCUCACUAUAUUUCUGUAGUUUAAUAUGGUAUCACUCGCCAUUAGAGCUUGAUCAGCUUCUUCGAUCCGAGUCUUCCGCAGCUCCAACACUUCGUCUUCCUCUGAAUUCUUGCUUCUUGUACGCAUUUCUUGAUUGCUUUGACUUCGUCUUCUCUGCUUUCUAGGGUUUAUUGUUUCUGGGUGCUCUGCAACUACGAUCUGGUUGCGUCUUCGUCUUCUUCUAAUAUUGCACUCCAGGUGUUUGAUCCAUUGUUUCAGUGAGUUUCGGCAACGAUGGUAACAGCUUCUCAACUUCAGCUUCUUCAAUCUCCGAUCACUGCUCUAGUUUCGUCGAUUUCUACAUCUGUGAAUGUGAAGUUGGAUGAUUCGAAUUAUCUCACUUGGCAUUUUCAAAUGCAAUUACUGCUUGAGAGUAAUGGAAUUCUAGGGUUUGUCGACGGCACGCAUCCCUGUCCUCCUCGACAUUCCUCACCAUCUGGAGAUUCUGGUGUUAAUUCCUCAAAUUCAACAACUUCUUCUGCUAGUGAUGAGUAUUUGAUUUGGAUAAUGCAUGAUAAAGCCCUGAUGCAGUUACUGACUGCUUCUUUGAGUCCAAUGGCUCUGUCGUGUGCUAUUGGUAGUACAAGCUCUCGGGAUCUCUGGAUUCGAUUGCAAGAACAAUUCUCCACAGUCUCCAAGACUAGCAUAUUUCAGAUGAAGUCUAAUCUUCAAACCAUUAAAAAGGGAUCUGAUUCUGUUGCUCAAUAUUUACAGAAAAUCAAAGAGGCCAGAGAUUAUCUUUCAGCUGCUGGGGUGUAUUUUGUUGAUGAAGAUAUUGUCAUUCUUGCGUUGAAUGGUUUGCCACCAGAGUAUAAUACAUUCAGAACAGUAAUAAGGGGACGUGAGAAUGUUAUAUCUCUGAAGGAGUUUAGGACACAAUUACUUGCUGAAGAAGCUAUUCUGGAAUCCACUGUUAAUGCACCUUUUAUGACUGCAAUGGUUGCUCAUAAUUUACCUCCGAGAGCACCUACUCAAUCCAAUUUUGUGGCUGGUGGUUUCAAGCAAUUCAAUGCUCCCAAAAACAAGGGGAAGGGCCGGUUUCAUCAAAAUAACAGGACUUUUUCAUCCAAGCCGUAUCUUCCUACUCAAACUCAUGUUCUCCAAAAUCCAAGUCCUGGUGUUCUUGGUUCUUUUCCUCAUCAGCAGCACUCCCCUCCUUCUGCUCCACAUCUCCUCUUAUGUCAACUUUGCAAUUGUGGUGGUCAUUCUGCGCCUUUCUGUCCAUCCAAUUCUUCUGCGAAAUCCCGAUGUCAGAUUUGUGGCAGGUUUAAUCACAGUACAUGGUUCUGUUUUUACAAUGACAAGGGUCCCAACUAUAUUGGUGCUGGCAAUGGUUCUUAUCCACAACCAGGGCAUCCAUAUUCUCAGCAGGCUUCUUAUUCACAGCAAGGGUAUUCAUCACAGUUUCCUGCUCCACAACAAAUUCAGUCUCAGGCACCAAUGCAGGCUUUUCAUACUAUGGUGCCACAACCCUCUCCUCCAGCAGCAUCUUCAUCUCCUUCCCAAGUUUGGAUCACUGAUUUCGGGGCAACGAAUCAUAUGACUGCUGAUCUUUCCAAUCUGUCUCUAGCUUUACCCUAUCCCACUAAUGAAGUCAUACAAACUGCCAAUGGUGAAGGUUUGCCUGUAUCUCACAUUGGUAGUACUGUUAUAAAACCAUCUCUCCAUCCUAUAAAAUUGAAUUCUGUGUUAUAUGUUCCCAAAUUAACACAGAAUCUUCUAUCUGUCCAUCGCAUAUGUUUGGAUAAUAAUUGUUGGCUUAUCUUUGAUGCCUUCUGUUUUUGGAUCCAGGACAAGGCCACAGGGAGGGUACUCUAUAAAAGAUUGUGCAGUAAUGGACUCUACCCACUCUCAUCUCUAGCCAAUGUGUCACCUGCUGGUUCUCAAAGCAUUGCUUCAAAUAAAGCCCUCCUUGGUCAGUUGGUUACUUCUUCUACUACCUGGCACAAUAGAUUAGGACAUCCAUCUAAUUCAGUUGUCUCUCUUAUGUUGCAUAAGUCCAAAGUUGCUUUUGCAAAAGACCCAAAUCCUGUUCUGUGUCCUAGUUGUCUUGAGGGUAAAUUCUGUAAACUUCCAUUUGCAUUAAGUGUCAAUAAAUCUGUAACUCCUUUUGAUGUAGUGCAUAGUGAUCUUUGGGGUCCUGCACCUUGUAAAUCUGUGGAUGGAUAUCGGUACUAUGUCACCUUCAUUGAUGAAUGUACCCGGUAUUCCUGGAUUUUCCCAUUGAUGAAUAAAUCCGAUCUUUGUGCCACUUUUAUUGCUUUUCAUGCUUAUGUUCUCACUCAAUUCUCUGCAAACAUUAAAAUUUUGCAAAGUGAUGGUGGUGGUGAGUACAUUAGCAAGUCACUUCAAUCUUUUCUUCUCCAAAAGGGCAUUUCUCAUCAAAAAUCCUGUCCUUAUACCCCUGAACAAAAUGGGAUGGCUGAACGUAAACACAGACACGUUAUUGAAACCACAAUUACUUUGUUGCAAACAGCUAAACUGCCUUCCCAGUUUUUGGUCCUUUGCAUGUCAAACUGCCAUUUAUCUCAUUAAUAGAAUGCCUACUCCCAUUCUCCAUAACCAGUCUCCUUUUGAAGCCUUAUAUGGUGCUGUUCCAGUGAUUCAUCACUUGCGAACGUUUGGUUGUGCUUGUUAUCAUUUCUUAAGACCUUACAAUGCUACCAAACUUCAAGCUAAGACUACAAAAUGUGUGUUUUUGGGAUAUGCAUCCAAAUUCAAGGGCUUCAUUUGUUUUGCAGUUUCUACACAUAAAUUCUUUGUGUCUAGACAUGUGGUAUUUAGUGAACAUGAGUUUCCUUAUAAUGACUUGUUGUCCCGAGCCACCACACCACAAUCUCCUACUUCUGUUCACAUUACUGACCUGUCAUCUCUUCCUGUCGUCCCCUCACAGCCUAUAGUCACUAUACCCUCCUCUCAUACUCCUAUUUCUCCUGAGUCUCCAUUACAUUCCCCUUCUGCUCCCGGGUCUUCAUCCUUCUCACCAACCACGUCUCAGUUUCUUGACCCACCACCCUCUCAUCAGUCCAUUACUGGUGCAGUUUCACCCACUGAUCACAACCCUGUGGUACUUGAACAUAGUCCUGUUACACUACAAGUGGUUCCUUCCAUUCCCUCCUUGAAUAUACACCCUAUGCAGACUAGGAGUAAGAGUGGUAUCAGCAAAAAGAAGGUUCUUUUGUCUGCUCUUGCUACUUCCAUGGAUGCUGAUUUGUCUAUGUGUGAACCCAAAACAUACAAAUCUGCUCUCAAGAGUCCUGUGUGGUUUCAAGCAAUGAAGGAAGAGAUCAGUGCUUUGCAUACUCAAGGAACAUGGAGUUUAGUUCCUUUACCUGCAAACAAGAAUUUAGUAGGGUGUAAAUGGAUUUUCAAACUCAAGAGACAUUCAGAUGGUUCAAUUGCACGCCAUAAAGCUCGAUUGGUUGCCAAGGGAUUUAGUCAAGAACCUGGGCUGGAUUACAGUGAGACCUUUAGUCCAGUUGUUAAACCCACCACAGUGAGGAUUGUUUUAGCACUUGCUGCUCACUUUAAUUGGUCACUUCGGCAACUAGAUGUCAAGAAUGCGUUUCUCCAUGGCAUAUUACAGGAUGAGGUGUAUAUGGAUCAGCCACCUGGCUUUGAGGAUCCCCAGAAUCCUACUUUGGUAUGUCAAUUGCAUAAGUCCCUAUAUGGCUUAAAACAGGCCCCGAGGGCAUGGAAUGACAGGUUUACUUCUUUUCUGCCUAAGUUGGGCUUCCAUAACACCUAUUCUGAUUCCUCCUUAUUUGUGAAACCUGUUGGUGCCAAUAUUGUGAUCUUAUUGCUAUAUGUCGAUGAUAUUAUCAUCACAGGAAGUGCAAUCACUGAGAUUCAGCAGGUCAUUGAUGCUUUAACUUCUGAAUUUGACAUCAAGGACUUAGGUCCUCUUCACUACUUCCUUGGCAUUCAGAUUUCCAAGACUGCCAAGGGGUUAUUUUUGUCCCAACAGAAAUAUGUACAGGAUCUCCUUGUCAAAACAGAAAUGCUUGACUCCAAGCCUUGUGACACACCCUGCUUACCUUCUACCAGGUUACUCAAGGAUGAUGGUGACCCUUAUCCUAAUCCUACUUUAUAUAGGAGUGUGGUGGGUGCUCUUCAAUAUCUAACGUUCACACGCCCUGAUAUAGCUUUCUCUGUGCAUCAAGUCUGUCAGUUUAUGCAAUAUCCUAUGGUCUCUCAUUUCACUGCAGUUAAAAGGAUCCUUCGGUAUUUGAAGGGCACUAUGUCCUGUGGCAUUACCUAUUCUCAAGGGGACUUGGCACUAUCUGCAUUUAGUGAUGCCGAUUGGGCUGGAGAUCCCAAUGAUCGGCGAUCUACAACAGGGUCUGUGGUGUUCCUCGGGCAUAAUCCUAUCUCAUGGUCCUCUAAGAAACAGCAGACAGUGUCCCGAUCUUCGACUGAGGCAGAGUAUCGUGCUUUAUCCUCCACUGCAGCAGAACUUGAUUGGAUUCAACAAAUCCUUGCUUUUCUGCAUUUUCCGAUGUCUGCUCCUCCUGUUUUAUACUGUGACAACCUUUCUGCUAUAGCCUUGUCUUUCAAUCCUGUCCAACAUCAACGGACCAAACACAUUGAAAUUGAUGUGCAUUUUGUUCGAGAGCGGGUUUCUCAGAACAAGCUUGUGGUGCAGUUUGUGUCCUCCAAGGAGCAGUUGCUGAUAUCUUGACCAAAGGCCUCAGUUCUUCAUUGUUCCUUUUUCAUUGUAACAAUCUCAUGUUAGGAUCAUCCAAACAUGAGCUUGAGGGAGGAUGAUAGACAUAUAUUGUGUGGCUGAGAUAUUGCCACUUGUAUGCAGAUUAGAGAGUUAGUUAGAAAGUUAGUUAGGUAGUUUGUUUAGAAUAUUGAAAAGGGUAUAAAUACUGAUGUAUGUGGGAUUGCUUAGUAAGUAAGAAAAGUAAUAUACUGGAAGUGUUUGGUUUCUACUUCUCUCUCUAAAUUGCUUGAAUCUCUUCUUCUUCUCACUAUAUUUAUGUAGUUUAAUAAUCAUGUCCCAAAAACAAUGAAUUUUGGAUCAUCUCCUAUGAUUACCACAUUAAUUAAUGAUCGUUUUCUGCUAAUAAAUUUCAACAUCUACAUGUUUAGUUCAUGCAUUUUAAAUAUGUUACGUUGUUUUAUAUGAACAGAUUAGAGAUUAAUUGAAUUAUAAAUAAUGUAAUUUGAUUAGAUUAAUUUGUUACCACUAACUUUGUAUUUUCUUUGUUUAAUUUGUUUCAAAUCCUUUAGCCUUCCUUGAAAAAUUGUUGAAUUGGCAAAAAGAGAAUCAUCCAGUACCUGUAAAAACCUCUGCGGAAUCGAAAGAUGUUGAAGUUACUAGAUGCAGUACCUUGAAAAAUUGCAUGGAAACGGAGAUCUCUGCAUUCGUAGACGAUAAUGACAAAGGUACAUUCGGCCUCAUCGACUCAUGUCUUAUUAGAUUUUCGACGCAAUGUGAUAGUUCGUUGUAAAAUUACCGCACUUGGAAAAUUUUAUGUCUGUUAUCUGAAUCGACUUUGCCUGAAUUAGUACAUGAAGUUGUAUCUCACUGUUAUGUUUUAUGUUCAUGUUUCGACAUGAUUAGAGUUUUCUAAUCACAUGGCUCAAGACACUCUGAAAACCAAACUGAAGUCCUCGGGUAAGUCACCACAUCUAUUAAGGAGUUCAACGUUAAUGAAAUUCACGGCGAGUCAGUUGGCCAAGCAAAAUCAGCACCGAGAGGUUCACUCCAAUCGGUUAUUAAGGAGGUGCUGUUAUUUUUCUCUGAUGUUUCUGUUGUCAUUAAUGUAUGUUUUGUUCUAAUUGUUUGGUGGUCUAGUUUUCUAACUUGUCCCAUUUUCCGACUCUUGAUUACAGAGUUGCGAAAAAGCUCGAGAAACUCGAUGAGAAAUCACAGAAUUCUCCGCCACCUACGAUGGGCUGCGAAAAUUCGAAGCAAUGUAGCAUAGCACUUUGCAAAUUCGGUAGUGCUAUCACACGUGCAUUCUUACUUCUCACUAACCCCUCUCAAUUUUUCGGCCAUUGGAAAAAUAAGUGUGUAAAUAACACUAUCCUACAAAUUACGCAACCGAAACUAUAACAGAAGAGCGAUUAUAACGUAUUAAAGUACCAUCUCACUAAAUUAUCCAACAAUGUUUCAGAGAUUAGGAACAAUCAUACUACUUUCAGCUCAGUCAUUCCAUCAAACGGCUGGUUCGCUGCAAUUCCACUUAUGCUCAAAUCACUACCGUCCGUUCCUACCAUCGAUUCCAUCAAAUUCUCCGAAACCCAUUUCUCAAUCAAAUCCAAACACAGCUGCAACCACACCCAGAAAAUUAAAAAGUCGAACUUUACAAAACUCCACUCCGAAAACAUAAAUUACACAAAACCCAACAAAAUCUCACCCUGUUCUCGGACAAUCCGACUUGAAUAACCCCAUCCGGAUUAUCCACCCUCUCGUACGGGUCCUCCGAAGCCCUAUCCAACCCGAUAUAGUACGGCGAGUCAUUGGGCUUCGCAAUCCAGCUCGCCCGGGAGGACAUCCGGACCCGGCCCAUGGACCCGCGGGUGGACAAGCUGGACCGCGACAGCGUUCUGGGGAGCUCCGCCAGGUUGGAGGAGGACUGGGAGGGGGAAGGUGGAUCGGGUUUGGAGGGUCGCCGUCGUUUUAGGUAGAGCUGGAGGCAGUAAUAGAGAGCACAUGGGAUUAGAGAGGCGAGGAUGAGGCCGCCUCUGCCUUGGACGACGCCUUGGAGUGGCACAAUCAGUCUCAUCGCGGUGACUCCGGUGGGCUUGUUUCGGGUUGGGUCGGAGUCGGGUUGGCCGGUCCAGGUCUCGAGCUGCAGUGGGAGGGUUUCGGGUUGGCCGUUGGUUGGCGUGGAGGGAUUGAGUGAGAUUCGAGAGCCCUGCGAGGGAAGUGUGUGUUUUGCAGUUUCGCUACCAGAAACUUUUGGUCUGGUUAUGAUUGGCACCUGCCAGUUUCCAUCUUUGCAUCUUUUGUUGGUGGCGUGCAAACACCAUCGUCGUAUAAUAACAAAAAAACGAUUUCAUUCUUUUUGGGGCUAAAGAUGUAAUUUUGAAUCAAAUGCUUUUCUUAUCAUAUUUUUUUAUACCGUAACCGUUAUCUAAUAAAGAUAAGAUACAUAUGUGUGUAGACCUUACUUUUAUUAGAGAAAUUGAGAAUUUUUACUGUGCUCAAAACAAUAGUUGUACCAUAUGUCCUGGUGCAAAUACUAAAUAUUAUUCUGUGUUUCGAGCACAUUAAAAAAUCUCUCGGAUCACAUUGUGUUUGGACCUGAUUUUACACAUCGGCCUAAGCAAUCGAGGCCGUUGAGUAAGCAUGGUUCUCAACCGUUGGAUAAGAAAGUUUAGAUAUUAUUGUUAAGAGAUAAUAUUAUGAUUUUUAAUCAUAAUAAUUAUUUUUUUAAUAAGUUAUCUCGGUUUUUAUGCAAAAUAAAUGGGAUGGAGGCAAGUAGAGUUGUGAUGGGGACGUGAGCUUUGAAUCAGGUUGGUUUGUUUUGCUGGACAUGCAUGCAUGGGAUGUAAAGAUAAUGAAGUGAUAGGGGAUAAAUCCAAACAUGCCAAAACGUGUAAUUUGCAAAAGAAUUGUGCAAUAUGGAGAUUCUAUCCUAAUGCAUGGUUUUUUGGGAUUGGUUUUGUGCACGUGGCAUGCGACAAUGGAGAUGAUGGUUUUGCAUGGUGAUGGCAAUAUGGGUUUAAAGGUUUCUCAUGUUUUUUAAUAAGAAGCCUAGGUGGGUUAGAUCUCUAGUGAGAUGUGAUAAAGCCUAGGUAGGCUUUAUUUAUCUGAAGGAUAUGUGCGGCGUAUUUGAUACGGGAUCAGGGUUUAUCUGAAGGAUAUGCGCAGCGUAUUUGAUACGGGAUCAAGGUCAAUUCCACAAAAUAGAGUUGCAGUUGGACUCUACAAAAUUAUUUGGCCGCGUCACACAACAUUUGCUCCUAUAAAUAUAGAGGUAGUGGCAACGGAAGAAGGACCCCUGCAAAUCAAUACAAAAUUGCCCUGCGCAAAUUCUCACAACUUGUGAUUUUUCUUUUCCCUUUUUUCGCUGACACAUCUUCCGUUGGCAUCAACAGCACUGUGGAAGCAACCGGUGAUAUCUUAAGUCGGCAUAGAUAGCUCUGUCACCGUAGAAUCAGUCGGUCUCGCAAUACUUUCCGUUGGCAUCAACAGCACUGCGGCGAGAACGACCGAUUACCUAUCCAAGUCUCGGUCGAGAAGGAUUUCUGAAUCCUUAUUGGUCGAGGUCAUCUCAUCAGCCUUCUCGGCGAAGUGAGGUGUUACGAGUUAUUACAUUCGGCACAUUGAGGGCCGAAUUUGAUAUUGAACUUCGUGAGAAUAGUAACCUUGUCUUCAGGUUCGAGAGCCCAAGAGGCCGAGACGUGUUCCUUUCUUGGCCGCAAUCGCAAGACGCAGAAGUCAGUAGCGCGACCCAACGCAACAUCAACAAAUUUACUCCUCGGCCGAGCUCGGCCGACGAGUUGGCACGCCCCGCAUUCACCGAAGGACGUAGUUAGCUUAUUAAUUACUCGGCCUGCGCGCCACGUAGGCUUGGUAGUUUUUAGGGUCAACAUUUUGGCACGCCCAGUGGGACCCAGUGCUAAACUACGAAGUUCACAUGAUCUAUCUCGAUCCGGCUUCAAGGGAUGAGUGUUAUCGCCUAUUAAAGGAGCAAAACAACUUCUCGAGAGUUUGAGAAGAAUUUCUGAAAGGCAAGAGGCCGGGGGGCAAAUCUCCACUCCGGCCACAACCAAUAUUCAGCCUAAGAAAAGUGAUAAUUUGGCCGAAGAACAAAGGCCACUUGUUGUUUCGGUAGAGACUGAAAAUAUAGUAGGCCUAGAAGAAAAAAUUCAAGUCCCUAAGCUAUAUACAAAAAUUGACUUGGAAAAAGAUUCGUCAAAAGAACGCUCCAGUGACGAACGAGGCCGAGAUAUUGGCCUAGCCCGAGAAACUACGCCAAUUGAUAUGAUUAUUGGCAAUAAAGCCGAUAUGGAGAAAUCCUGUUCGGCUAAGUUAUUUGAAUUAAAAGCCGAAAUUAUGCCUGGGGGGCAUAAUAAUUGUUCAGCGCAUUCGGCGGCCGAUAAAAAAUCUUUCGUCAAGUCAAACAUAUUUGGAGAUAGUAUUUUAUUCGGCCUUGCAAAAAUUCAAAGUGAAAGUUUUGAUACAAAAAGCCUUCGGCUUGGAAUAAAACAUCGUUGGCCUCCUCCAUUUAUAGUAGGGCCACUUUUGUUUUCUUUUGCUACAAAAUAAGAAUAAAUUAUUUUCUUAACCAUUCGGCUUUUUAGGCCGAUGCUUAAGAAAAUAAAGGGGGCAAUAAGAUGGUGCGGACUUAGAAAAACAAGAAAAAACAAGAUGGUGUACUCGGCAGACAAUUUUGGUCAAAUAAUGGUGUACUCGGCAGACAGUUUUGGUCGAAUGAAUUUGCGAGAGCAUGCAUGACAAUUGCUCGGCAGACAGUUUUGGUCAAAUGAAUUUAUGGGAGCAUGCAUGGUUGCGAAGCUUGCUCAAUUCAGUUUCGAUGUGCGGUUUAAUAUAUAUAUGUGUGUGUCAGAAUGACCCAUCACAUGAAACAGAAAGAGAGACGCAUACGGAAAAGACAAAGGAAAAUUCAUGAAGUUAUGGUAGGCUUCCACAUGGGCUAACCUUUUCGUUUGGUGAUGUAGUGAUCUGUGAAUUCCUAACAGCAUUAUUUGGCCGAAUACAAAUCUUUGGCCGAAUAAAACAUAGUUCGGCCGAAUAUAAUGGGUUAUAUAUAUAUAUAUAUAUAUAUAUAUAUAUAUAUAUAUAUAUAUAUAUAUAGGCUCUACAGCCAGUUCUUCUCGGUCUCAGCCCUAUUUACUCUCGACCCCAGUAUUUUUGACCGAUACUAGUGUUUUCUCGACCCCGGCAGUUGAGAGUUGGAGUAGUUCACGACACUGGCAGAGGGAGGUUAUGACAUUGGCAGAACAUAGGUGAUUUUAAUGCCGAGAGACAAAAUUUGUUUCGGCAAUACGACGAAGUGUUGUUGGCUACGAGCAAUUAAUUUCCUUAACCAUUCGGCUUACGAGCCGAAGCUCACGGAAACUAGGGGGCAAUGUUUGGACCUGAUUUUACACAUCGGCCUAAGCAAUCGAGGCCGUUGAGUAAGCAUGGUUCUCAACCGUUGGAUAAGAAAGUUUAGAUAUUAUUGUUAAGAGAUAAUAUUAUGAUUUUUAAUCAUAAUAAUUAUUUUUUUAAUAAGUUAUCUCGGUUUUUUAUGCAAAAUAAAUGGGAUGGAGGCAAGUAGAGUUGUGAUGGGGACGUGAGCUUUGAAUCAGGUUGGUUUGUUUUGCUGGACAUGCAUGCAUGGGAUGUAAAGAUAAUGAAGUGAUAGGGGAUAAAUCCAAACAUGCCAAAACGUGUAAUUUGCAAAAGAAUUGUGCAAUAUGGAGAUUCUAUCCUAAUGCAUGGUUUUUUGGGAUUGGUUUUGUGCACGUGGCAUGCGACAAUGGAGAUGAUGGUUUUGCAUGGUGAUGGCAAUAUGGGUUUAAAGGCUUCUCAUGUUUUUUAAUAAGAAGCCUAGGUGGGUUAUAUCUCUAGUGAGAUGUGAUAAAGCCUAGGUAGGCUUUAUUUAUCUGAAGGAUAUGUGCGGCGUAUUUGAUACGGGAUCAGGGUUUAUCUGAAGGAUAUGCGCAGCGUAUUUGAUACGGGAUCAAGGUCAAUUCCACAAAAUAGAGUUGCAGUUGGACUCUACAAAAUUAUUUGGCCGCGUCACACAACAUUUGCUCCUAUAAAUACAGAGGUAGUGGCAACGGAAGAAGGACCCCUGCAAAUCAAUACAAAAUUGCCCUGCGCAAAUUCUCACAACUUGUGAUUUUUCUUUUCCCUUUUUUCGCUGACACAUCUUCCGUUGGCAUCAACAGCACUGUGGAAGCAACCGGUGAUAUCUUAAGUCGGCAUAGAUAGCUCUGUCACCGUAGAAUCAGUCGGUCUCGCAAUACCUUCCAUUGGCAUCAACAGCACUGCGGCGAGAACGACCGAUUACCUAUCCAAGUCUCGGUCGAGAAGGAUUUCUGAAUCCUUAUUGGUCGAGGUCAUCUCAUCAGCCUUCUCGGCGAAGUGAGGUGUUACGAGUUAUUACAUUCGGCACAUUGAGGGCCGAAUUUGAUAUUGAACUUCGUGAGAAUAGUAACCUUGUCUUCAGGUUCGAGAGCCCAAGAGGCCGAGACGUGUUCCUUUCUCGGCCGCAAUCGCAAGACGCAGAAGUCAGUAGCGCGACCCAACGCAACAUCAACAAAUUUACUCCUCGGCCGAGCUCGGCCGACGAGUUGGCACGCCCCGCAUUCACCGAAGGACGUAGUUAGCUUAUUAAUUACUCGGCCUGCGCGCCACGUAGGCUUGGUAGUUUUUAGAGUCAACACAUUGUUAAUAAGCUCUUCAAUUCAAGUUUUCCUUUCUCACGGUAUCGAUAAUAUACCAAUGAAUCCACUUAUAUAUAUAUAUAUGUAUGUAUCUUCCCAAGUAGAGGGUAUAUAUAUAUGUGUGUGUGUGUAUCCUCCCAAGUAUACCAGCACUCCUUAAAUUAUUGAACAUUGAAUCAGAACAAGUCUGCAAUAUGAUGGAUUACACAUGUCAAUGGUUGAGACAAACGCUGACUCAUCACAUCACUCUUGUGUGUGUGUAUCUUCCCAAGUAUACCAUCACUCCAUAAAUGAUUGAACAUUGAAUCAGAACAACUCUGCAAUAUGAUGGAUUACACAUGUCAAUGGUUGAGACAAACGCUGGCUCAUCACAUCACUUUCAUAGAUUAGAGGCAGAUUUUCUGCCCUCCUAUUUGGAUCCCCUUCUCAUUCCAUUCUAUUUUAUGUUGUCACGAUUAAACCACGUCAAUAUUUUAUAUUGAUUUUUUUUAUAGAGAUAAUAAAACAAAAAGCAAUAUGAAUAUAAAAUGUUGACGUAACUUAACUGUGAUCACACAAAUAGAAGGGAAUGAGAAGGGUACCCAAACAGGAGGGCAGGCAACCUGCCUCCUCAUAGAUUCGGUCUCCUUGCAAUCUAGAAAGCCAUCUGCAACCUAAGCAGAAAUAUUCCACCACAAUUUAUUCGUGCUCUCUGUUGAUAGGGCGUUGAUAGGGCGUUUAGAGCAGUUGCCAAGUUGGAUUUCAAAUCUUCAACACCUCGUCAUAUUGGGUAUUUGUUGGUCAAGGUUGAGAGAUUCCCCACUAAAAGCCCUUCAAAAUCUACCUAAUCUGUUGGAGCUAUUUUUGAAAAUCAAUGCAUAUGAUGGUGUGCAGCUGCAUCUUGAGGAAGGAGGAUUUCAGAAGCUGAGGCAUCUGGAACUCAAGGACAUGGAGGGACAAAAUUCAUUGAUCAUAGACAAUGGGGUUAUGCCUCUUCUCCAAGAGUUUCACAUUGGACCUUCCCCACAACUGAAGGAGGUGCCCUCUGGCAUCCACCAUCUCCGAAAGCUGAGAUAUCUUGUUUUCUUUGACAUGCCAAAGGAGUUUGAACGACAUAUGGAUCCAAAUAAUAGACUGCAACAUUGGAUUGUUGAACAUAUACAAGAUGUCCGCUUUAGUUACAAGUUCGGACCAAGAUGGGGGUGUAUACGAAACUCACGCCCGACGUGAUUCCAACUUUUCUUUUUGGUAGAAGAUUCCAACUUGUGAAACCAAGCAUGGGAAUGGAAUGGUCUCUUUUUGUACAGUUUUUGGUUAGAGAGGUUUAGGGGUUGUUAAGAGUUGGUUGUUAGCUCUGGUAUCCUAGUUUCUCUUGCAGGUUGACUGGGAGUGGCUCUUUCUCUUCUGUUUUCUUUGUGUCGUCGAGUCUAGUGAUAUUUCUAGCAUUUUCCUUAUAAACUGUUUUUUUUAUUUAUAAAAAUUGAAAAAUAAAAAGGUAUCUUCUUCUCAAAUUCAGAAUGUUCAAGUGACCUAAUAAAAUUUCAUUGAACUUUAGGCGAAUGAAUCAAGUUUUUACUAGAGAUAAGUGUUAAUCUACAAUGGCUAUUUAUUCAAAAAGUUUUUUAGUAGUUUAAAAUCAUCAAACUAACUUUUUUUUUUGAAUGUGUUAAAAUUGGUUACCUGCAGAUAAUGAGUUCUUAACAUGUGAUUCAAUACCGACCCAAUUAGUUAAUGUGUAGAUUUGAAAUCUAUUAUUUUCGUACCAUUUCGAAUCGAGUUAACAGAUCGUAUAAGAAAUUGUCAGAUCUAACUUAAAUUUGAAAGGCUUGAUGACCGUUGGCAGGCCUACCAAAUAUAAAAUGGUUGUUGUUUGUUUGUUAAUUUAUAAAAACUUAAAAAGAGAGUUGGGUAGGUAUCGUAAUGACGCAAAGCCAGAGGCAACCACCUCUCUAAUUCGAGUUUUCCUUUCUCACUGUACCAACACGAGCAAAUUAAUCCCCUCAUAUAUCAUCGCAACUCCACGGUAUAUAAUAUAGCAACACUCCUUAAAUUAUUGAAAAUUGAAUCAGAACAAGUCCGCAAUAUGAUAUGAUGGAUUACCAAAGUCAAUGGAUGAACCAAACGCUGCCUUAUCACAUCGCUUUCAUAUUUUCAAUCUCCUUGCAAUCCAGAAAGUCCUCUGUAACCUAACCAGAAAUAUUCCACACGGAAGUAUUCAUAUAGAGAUUUUUCUCCAUCAAUUAUAGAUACUGUCUGCCAGAAAAGGCAGGAUACAAAAUGGCAGAAUCAGUUGUAUGCUUUGUGAUCGAUAAGUUAAUUUCACUACUCGUCACCACAGAAGCGAAACUUUCAAGAGACGUGCGUGCUGAAGUUGGUUUUCUCAGAGAUGAACUUGAAAGCAUCCGAUCAUUCCUCAAGGAUGCAGACGCUAAAGCAGCAGCAGCAGCAGCAGAAGGAGACAUGGUGACUGACAGUGCCAAAACUUGGGUCAAACAAGUAAGGGAAGCAGCUUUUUACAUUGAAGAUGUCAUCGAUGAGUAUUUGCUUCGUGUCACAAGGCACCAUCAAGACCGCGGAUUCGUUCGCUUUGUCCACAAAGUUGUUUGGUUUCUGAAGAAAAUGAAACCACAGGAUGAGAUAGCCUCAAAAAUAGAGGGCAUGAGAGCAUUGGUUAGUGAAAUCAAGGCUAGACAUGAAAGAUAUGGGCUUAGUUCAAUUGAUCAGCAAGGUCAAAGCAGUGAAGAAAUUGUUGUUUCGUGGCAUGACCCUCGAGUGGCUUCCCUUUUCAUCGAGGAAGCUGAAGUUGUUGGUGUGGAAUCUGCCAGAGAUGAGCUGAUUAGUUGGUUGGUAGGAAAAGCAUCAAGAGGCGCAUACCGUGAAGUAAUAUCAGUGGUUGGCAUGGGAGGACUUGGUAAGACCACUCUCGCCAAGAAAGUCUAUGACAACCAAAGGGUGAUCGAACACUUCGAUUGCCAUGCUUGGAUUACAGUGUCUCAGACGUACAAGGUGGAGGAUCUUCUGAGGCAGAUGGUAAUGCAAUUCUACAAGGCCAGGAAGGAAUAUACCCCGGAGGGCAUUGACACAAUGGAAAAAGAAUCUUUAAUUAGAAAAUCAAGAGAAUUACUGCAGCAAAAGAGGUACGUGAUUGUGUUUGAUGAUGUAUGGAAAGUAGAAUUUUGGGAGGCGAUAGAACAUGCUUUGCUGGAUAAUAAAGGGGGAAGAAUAGUGAUCACCACGAGGAUUAAAGAUGUUGCUGAUUUUUGCAAAAAGUCUUCUUAUGUUCAUAUUUACCGUUUGCAACCUCUGCCUCCAAUCAAGGCAUGGGAAUUGUUUUGUAGAAGGGCAUUUCAAUACGAAUUGGAGGGGAACUGCCCUGCAGAUUUGAAAGAUUUGUCUCUUGAAUUCGUUAGAAAGUGCGAAGGAUUGCCUUUGGCAAUUGUUUCCAUAGGUGGUCUGCUGUCAACAAAAGUUAAAGUUGUGUCUGAAUGGCAGAAGUUAUACGAUAGCUUAAGUUCAGAGUUAGAAAGCAAUCCCCACCUUACAAGCCUCACAAGAAUUCUAUCCUUCAGCUAUCAUCAUCUACCGUAUCACCUCAAAUCAUGUGUCUUAUACUUUGGCAUCUUUCCCGAGGACUACUCAAUUAGUUGCAUAAGACUAGCUCGGUUGUGGAUCGCUGAAGGCUUUGUGAAACCGAAGAGGGGCAAGACACUAGAAGAGGUUGCAGAGGAAUACUUGACUGAACUGAUACAUAGAAGCCUGGUGCAAGUGUCACAGGUUUGGAUCGAUGGGAAAGCUAAAAGCUGUCGAGUCCAUGAUCUGAUGCGCGAAGUGCUCCUUAGAAAAGCGGUGGAUUCAAAUUUCUGUCAUGUGUUAUCAGAAAAUGAGUCAACAAUAAAGCCAAUAACUCGACGCCUCUUGAUAGACAGCAUGCCCUAUGAUGCCUUGGGAAUAAUUGAACAAUCUCGCAUUCGUUCUUUAUUUACUUUCAACCAAGAACAAUGGCCCGAGUCUUUUCUCAGUACACUGAGUGGAAACUUUAAACUUAUGAAAAUAUUGGAUUUUGGAGAUGCUCCCCUGAAUCAUCUUCCGAAGUAUGUGGGAGAUUUGCAUCUCUUGAAGUACUUAAGCCUAAGGAAUACAAAGGUGAAGUUGCUUCCAGAGUCCAUAUGUAAUCUGCAAAACUUAGAAACACUGGAUUUAAAACAGUCUCUGGUAUAUGAAAUACCAGCCAAGAUCAAUAAGCUUCUAAGGUUGCGACAUCUUUUGGCCCAUUAUACUGACUCCAGCUCAAGGUUCAGGAUGAUCAGUAACGAACGAGGAGUGAAAAUACAUGAUGGUAUUGGAUGCUUACAAGCUUUACAACAGUUAUACCAUGUGGAAACAAAUCAUGGCGGAAUCAACCUAAUCAAAGCAUUGGAAAAGUUGAGGCAGCUGCGAAAGUUGGGCCUGAAAAACUUGAAACGUGAAUAUGGACGAGCUCUAUGUGCUUCGAUUGAAAAGAUGAACCACCUUGAAUCUCUAGAAGUAAGCACAAUAAGCGAAGAUGAAGUCCUUGACCUGCAAUCCAUUUCAACUCCACCCGAAUCUAUUCGGUUUCUCUACUUGAAGGGGCCUCUAGAGAAGUUGCCAAGUUGGAUUCCAAAGCUUCAACGACUUGUCAGGCUACGAAUUUUUUGGUCAAGGUUGACAGAUGCCCCACUGAAAGCUCUUCAAAACCUUCCUAAUUUGGUAGAGCUUGGGUUCUCAUUCAACGCAUAUGAUGGUGUGCAACUGCAUUUUGAGGGAGGCUUUAAGGAACUCAGGGUGUUAAAACUCAAGCACUUGCCCAGACUAAACUCAUUGAUCAUAGACAAUGGGGCUAUGCCUCUUCUCCGAGAGCUACAAAUUGGGCCUUCCCCACAACUGAAGGAGGUGCCCUCUGGCAUCCAGCACCUGAGAAAUCUAAGCUCUCUUAGAUUUGUUGACAUGCCAAAAGAGUUCCGACAACAUGGAUCCAAAUAAUGGCCAACAUUAUUGGAUUGUCGAACAUAUACAAGAUGUUCUUUUUAGUUACAAGUUGGGACAAAGAUGCGAUGUAUAUGAAACUCACGCCCUGCGUGAUUCCAACCUGUGAAAGCAUAUCUACAUGUGAGUUUUAAUCCCAGAACACCCCAUAUAACUCGCAAGGCUUAAAUGAAAUCGCCAAAUGUCAUUGUUGACACGAUCUGUGAUAUUCUUUAGUAUUAUCAACUGUUAUAGAUGUUUGCUUUGUAUGAA